rnacentral:lncRNA from 1 species
CUUUUGGUGUUUAUCGGGUUCAUUUAGGGAACAAGAAGAUUGUAGAGGCUAUGCUUACUUUAACAAUUAUUCAUUGUUCAUCUGAAACUUAACAGGGUGUUCUGUAUCCCUGUGGCUCAAUCUGACAACCCCGUCUAGAAAGGCUCUCACCUAUGUUAGCAGAUGUCAGUCAUCUAAAAUUCAAUGUGAAUUAGUUUGUCAGAUUUUGUUUCCCUAUAAAGUCGGCUUUUAUGGGGAGGGGUAGAUCUGUGGGCUAAGUAUGGGCCAAAGAAGGUGAGGACAAUAGUUUCUGUGAAAAGCCACCGUGGAAAGAAGAGAAACAUGAUGAACAGGCUCUAUCCAAGAUGGUGGUGAUGAGGUUGGGCAGGUUGAUGGUGGCUAUCUGUGACAAAGAGAAUUGCAUAAAUUGGGACAAAGAAGUAAGAGUCACGCUGAGCCCAAUAUUGAUGAGUAUUAACAAGGACAAAGGGAGAAAUAAGAACCAGUAAGACUAGCCAGAUCAUGGAGGACCUUGGCUGCUCUGGAGCUUGGAUGUUAUCCUAAAGGUGAGAGGAAGACUUUGAAGCAUUUGAGGAGGGCCAUGCCAUAGCCAGGCCUUCCCAGGGUGGAGGAGAGGUAAGGGGAGGCUGGGAGUCAUCAAACCCUGCAGUCAUCUUGUUCCAGAUCUUGGCAUUAUCUGGGUGAUCCAGGAGGAAAUGCCUAUCACACAUGCUACCUAGGGACAUUCAUGAUUACAUUCUUCUUAUCUCACUCACUGACAGGGAAAAAUAUCCUGCCACUGUUGUCCUGGGAAUAUCUGGCCCCAGACUAUUUAUCCCCAGGGCAAGAUUGUGAGUUUACUUUUGUCCGUGGCCUGGACUUGACCUUCUGUUAGCUCAUCUACAAGUGUUUGCUCUGAUAAAGUGCAUUCCAGGCAGUCCAUAACUCACUAACCAUAGCCUUAUCCUGCAGUAACACAAUAACUACUGUUAUAUAAUGAAAAAAAAAAAUCCCCGUCAUCAGAACACAGGGAGUGGUAACGUGACACACGGGAUAAGUCAUGCCAGGGAGGAAGCAGAGGAUGAUUUGUAGUUGAGGCUACCAUCCAGACACAAAAUCUCUCUCUCUCUCUCUCUCUCUCUCUCUCUCUCGUCUUCACAAGGCUCACCACUCUGGCAUCUCGCAGGUGCCUUCUACUCCAAAUGAUACCUCUUUUCAAAUAAUGCUUAAAAAGUAGCACAAGUCAUGUGUGAAAAUAACCUCAUUGAAAAAUUCAAGCAAUACAAAAAAAUGAAUGCCUCUCCCUCCCACUCCCAGAACCACUCCAAUCUUCAGAGAAAAUACUGGUGACAACUGGUUUUCAGGGAUUUCCUUCUGUGUAUCCUUAACGUUUACAUCCACAU